ensembl:lncRNA
GAGAGAGAGAUAGAGGAGUAGGAAUCAGGAGAGAGAUAGAGAGGAGGAGGAAUCAGGAGAGAGAGAUAGAGAGGAGGAGGAAUCAGGAGAGAGAGAUAGAGGAGAGGAGGAAUCAGGAGAGAGAUAGAGAGGAGGAGGAAUCAGGAGAGAGAGAUAGAGAGGAGGAGGAAUCAGGAGAGAGAGAUAGAGAGGAGGAGGAAUCAGGAGAGAGAGAUAGAGAGGAGGAGGAAUCAGGAGAGAGAGAUAGAGGAGUAGGAAUCAGGAGAGAGAUAGAGAGGAGGAGGAAUCAGGAGAGAGAGAUAGAGGAGUAGGAAUCAGGAGAGAGAUAGAGAGGAGGAGGAAUCAGGAGAGAGAGAUAGAGAAGAGGAGGAAUCAGGAGAGAGAGAGAUAGAGAGGAGGAGGAAUCAGG